GCAGCCUGGGACAGUGGAAGGUGUCCCUGCCCACGGCAGAGGUGGAAUGGGAUGAGCUGUAAGGUCCCUUCCGACCCGACCAUUGUGGGAUUCUGUGACCUUCCAGCACCGUU